rnacentral:rRNA from 1 species
UACGUAGGCGGAAAAUUAAGUCAGUGGUGAAAUCCUGCAGCUUAACUGUAGAACUGUCAUUGAUACUGGUUUUCUUGAAUACAGUUGAGGUAGGCGGAAUGUGUAAUGUAGCGGUGAAAUGCUUAGAUAUUACACAGAACACCGAUUGCGAAGGCAGCUCACUAAACUAUCAUUGACGCUGAGGCACGAAAGCGUGGGGAGCGAACAGGAUUAGAUACCCUGGUAGUCC